rnacentral:rRNA from 1 species
GACGAACGCUGGCGGCGUGCCUAAUACAUGCAAGUUGAGCGCUGAAGGUUGGUACUUGUACCAACUGGAUGAGCAGCGAACGGGUGAGUAACGCGUGGGGAAUCUGCCUUUGAGCGGGGGACAACAUUUGGAAACGAAUGCUAAUACCGCAUAAAAACUUUAAACACAAGUUUUAAGUUUGAAAGAUGCAAUUGCAUCACUCAAAGAUGAUCCCGCGUUGUAUUAGCUAGUUGGUGAGGUAAAGGCUCACCAAGGCGAUGAUACAUAGCCGACCUGGGAGGGUGAUCGGCCACAUUGGGACUGAGACACGGCCCAAACUCCUACGGGAGGCAGCAGUAGGGAAUCUUCGGCAAUGGACGAAAGUCUGACCGAGCAACGCCGCGUGAGGGAAGAAGGUUUUCGGAUCGUAAAACUCUGUUGGUAGAGAAGAACGUUGGUGAGAGUGGAAAGCUCAUCAAGUGACGGUAACUACCCAGAAAGGGACGGCUAACUACGUG